ACUAAUGUUGCUGCUGUUAAAACGCUCGUAGUUGGACUCAGAGAUGGAGGUUGCAGUGAGGCCCUCUGCGGCUGGAGCUGUUGCGCCCCCGGGUGUGACGAUCCAACCGCAUUGCGGAACAAACCCACUGCGUUCGACCUUCACUCUUCACGCGCGGAACCAUUGGGGCUGUGGAAACCUCCUUGAUUGGUGGUAGAAGCGCUUCCGCAUUCAACACAUGCAUAUGCCCCUGUCCGUGGAGGUUACUGUGAACAAAACAGCGUGUCCAAAGCAACCACAUGUCUGGCUGAAUGAUCUAGCAUGGAAUAACAAGGCAUCGACCACUGGAGUCAGCCUUUUUGUUGGUUUUACAUGACCUAGUUGGGCAAUGCAGGGCUUGUGCUUCAUUGAGGUUCUUAGUCAGCUCUACCGAACUGUCUUCCCUCAGUUGGACCUUGUUCCCUAUCGGGAUCAAUGGAAGCCAUCGGGGUGGUAUGUAUUCCGACGUGAGCGGUGAAAUGCUUAGACCGUUGGAAGACAAACGACAGCGAAGGCAUUCCGCCAGAAUGUUUUCAUUAAUCAAGAACGAGAGUGUGGGGAUCGAAGAUGAUCAGAUACCAUCGUAGUCCAUUACCGUAAACUAUGCCAACUCGGCAUUGGGAGUCUGUUCACUUUGAAGACUCUCCCAGCAUCAUCCCCCAAUAACGAGAAAUCCAAGUCUAUGGGUUCAGGGGGGAGUACAGUCGCAAGGCUGAAACUUAAAGGAAUUGACGGAAUGACACCACAAGGCGUGGAGUAUGCGGCUUAAUUUGACCCAACACGGGGAAGCUUACCAGGUCAGACACAGUAAGGAUUGACAGAUUGAGAGCUCUUUCUUGAUCCUAUGGAUGGUGGUGCAUGGCCGUUUCUGGUUCGUGGAGUGAUCUGUCUGCUUAAUUGCGAUAACGAACGAGAUCUCUACCUCUAAAUAGGCGCCGGUCUCGCAUGUAAGUAGGGAUGUGUUGGGGGCCUUCGUGUCCCCUCAUGUCCUGAGAGUGCCGGGAUCGCUUCUUAGACGGACUGUGCAUGUCUUUAAUGCACGGAAGAGGGAGUCAAUAGCAGGUCUGUGAUGCUCCUAGAUGUUCUGGGCUGCACGCGCACUACACUGGCACAGUAAACGAGUUGCACCUGCUUCGGCAGUCCUGCUUAGAAGUGAGCGUGGGAAAUCUUAGAAAACUGUGCCGUGCUGGGGAUAGAUGAUUGCGAUUAUUUGUCUUGAACGAGGAAUGCCUAGUAGAGGUACUUCAUCAGAGUACCUUGAUUGUGUCCCUGCCAUUUGUACACACCGCCCGUCGUUGCUACCGAUUGGCUGUAAAAUAGAGGCCUUAAGAGUCG
rnacentral:rRNA from 1 species